rnacentral:rRNA from 1 species
UACGUAGGGGGCAAGCGUUGUCCGGAUUUAUUGGUCGUAAAGGGCGCGUAGGCGGCCUGGCAAGUGGAAGGUGAAAUCCCUCGGCUUAACCGAGGAACUGCCCUCCAAACUGCUUGGCUUGAGACCGGGAGAGGUGAGUGGAAUUCCCAGUGUAGCGGUGAAAUUCGUAGAUAUUCGGAAGAACACCAGUGGCGAAGGCGGCUCACUGGACCGGCAUUGACGCUGAGGUGCGAAAGCGUGGGGAGCAAACAGG